rnacentral:lncRNA from 1 species
CCCGCCCUCCUCGCCUUCACCCCGCCGAGGCUGCGCUCGCCUCCGCCUCAUGUGUCCUCACUCGCGCCUGCUUACCCCUCGCCUUCCUCGCCUCCGACCCCACCUUUUUUUUUCUCUCUGAUCCUCCUCCACCAUCUACAGCCCUUUGCAACGGUAAGGAGGACGGCACCGCAUCCUCUUCCUCUGCCUUCACCCUCCACCUCCACUACAGCAAAUUUUUCAUACACCAAACCCACCUCUGAGAACCUGUCGUCCCCACCACCGCUGAUAAUGACAAA